GACGAACGCUGGCGGCGUGCUUAACACAUGCAAGUCGAACGGAAAGGCCUCUUUCGGGGGGUACUCGAGUGGCGAACGGGUGAGUAACACGUGAGUAACCUGCCCUUGACUUUGGGAUAACUUCAGGAAACUGGGGCUAAUACCUGAUAGGAGCUCCUGCUGCAUGGUGGGGGUUGGAAAGUUUCGGCGGUUGGGGAUGGACUCGCGGCUUAUCAGCUUGUUGGUGGGGUAGUGGCUUACCAAGGCUUUGACGGGUAGCCGGCCUGAGAGGGUGACCGGCCACAUUGGGACUGAGAUACGGCCCAGACUCCUACGGGAGGCAGCAGUGGGGAAUAUUGCACAAUGGGUGGAAGCCUGAUGCAGCAACGCCGUGUGCGGGAUGACGGCCUUCGGGUUGUAAACCGCUUUCGCUCAUGACGAAGCUUUGUGUGACGGUAGUGGGUAAAGAAGCACCGGCUAACUACGUG
rnacentral:rRNA from 1 species